rnacentral:rRNA from 1 species
GGGUUGUGAGGUUAAGCGACUAAGCGUACACGGUGGAUGCCCUGGCAGUCAGAGGCGAUGAAGGACGUGCUAAUCUGCGAAAAGCGUCGGUAAGGUGAUAUGAACCGUUACAGCCGGCGAUGUCCGAAUGGGGAAACCCAGUGCAAUUCGUUGCACUAUCGUUAACUGAAUACAUAGGUUAACGAGGCG